rnacentral:rRNA from 1 species
CCUACGGGAGGCAGCAGUGGGGAAUAUUGGACAAUGGGGGCAACCCUGAUCCAGCCAUGCCGCGUGUGUGAAGAAGGCCCUCGGGUUGUAAAGCACUUUCAGUGAGGAAGAACGCCUGGUGGUUAAUACCCAUCAGGAAAGACAUCACUCACAGAAGAAGCACCGGCUAACUCCGUGCCAGCAGCCGCGGUAAUACGGAGGGUGCGAGCGUUAAUCGGAAUUACUGGGCGUAAAGCGCGCGUAGGUGGCUUGAUAAGCCGGUUGUGAAAGCCCCGGGCUCAACCUGGGAACGGCAUCCGGAACUGUCAAGCUAGAGUGCAGGAGAGGAAGGUAGAAUUCCCGGUGUAGCGGUGAAAUGCGUAGAGAUCGGGAGGAAUACCAGUGGCGAAGGCGGCCUUCUGGACUGACACUGACGCUGAGGUGCGAAAGCGUGGGUAGCAAACAGGAUUAGAUACCCUUGUAGUC